GAAAUGCGAUAAGUAGUGUGAAUUGCAGAAUUCAGUGAAUCAUCGAAUCUUUGAACGCACAUUGCGCCCCUUGGUAUUCCAUGGGGCAUGCCUGUUCGAGCGUCAUUUGUACCCUCAAGCUCUGCUUGGUGUUGGGUGUUUGUCCCCGUCUCCGCGCGUGGACUCGCCCCAAAGUGAUUGGCAGCCGGCGUACUGGUCCCGGAGCGCAGCACAUGUCGCGCAAACGAGUGCCUUGGUACGGCGGCGUCCAUAAGCCCCUCUCUCACGCUCUUGACCUCGGAUCAGGUAGGGAUACCCGCUGAGCUUAAGC
rnacentral:misc_RNA from 1 species